UACCAGAGCGUUGUUUCGACCCACGGACCUCUGGGUUAUGGACCCAGAACGCUUCCACUGCGCUUUCUGCU